UACAGAGGGGGCAAGCGUUAUUCGGAAUUAUUGGGCGUAAAGGGCGCGUAGGCGGCUUUGCAAGUGACGGGUGAAAUCCCUCGGCUUAACCGAGGAACUGCCUGUCAGACUGUGAGGCUUGAGACCGGGAGAGGUGAGUGGAAUUCCCAGUGUAGCGGUGAAAUGCGUAGAUAUUGGGAGGAACACCAGUGGCGAAGGCGGCUCACUGGACCGGAACUGACGCUGAGGCGCGAAAGCGUGGGGAGCAGACAGG
rnacentral:rRNA from 1 species